AGCCCUAACAAGGCAAGAGCAGAGAAUUUUGAUUAAGUCAGCAUCUUGAAGAUGCAUCUUAAACAAUACAAAUGCUCCCGGGCUGAAGUAGGGAACACGGCAGUGUUUCAUCAUGUGAACAUUCAGUCUGACAUCCUCGGUUCACUGGCCGUCUGUCAUUAACAAUGCUACCUGCGUGGAACCCAAUAACUUCUGAUUAAAGCAGACCUGCUAUUUCUGAAAAACACUAUCACCCAGAGCGUGAAGGCUGGAGAGUUUACCGCUCUGCUUUACAAGCUGCUUCAGUGGUUAGAAACUCUGCCAUCAAAAGCGUGACUGUCCCUUCUUACCUCAUCUCUUCUAUGAUUUUCCAACCCUGAAUUUCCCAGCCAGGAGACAAAUUGCUGCUUUGCCUGCUAGAGGUCUACAGCCUGUGCUACAGGAGCUGUCUCCCUGCUCAGAGCCAGGCCGUGCUCCCAGAGUGAAUUCAGCGCACGCUGCCUGCGAGGCCAGCCCCAGUCCGUGUGUUCACUUAUCCUCAUCUGCAUCUGUAGCUCUGAAGGCUGGAGGAUGAUGGAGGGCAAGCAGCAGCUUUUCCUCCGCAGACUAAUAGCUGUAGCAGCAGAGAUCUGUCAUGUCUUCACGACUGCCUUGGUUUACAGUGCACUCCCCAUCUGCUGCAUGUAAAAAAGGCAGUGUCAGCCGUAAAAUAUUGGAAGUCUGACUCCAGCACAAAGAUCCCUGACAAUUUAAUAAGAAUUCCUCAUGGUGCUUCACAAGCUCUUUCAGGGCUCUGACACGAUGCCUCAGGCAGGAUGGAUUACACAGGCUCCCGGGCACUCUCCAAGAGGGAAUUGCGCUGGCCAGUAGGUGUGAGUCAGCGAAGCAGCUCACUUCAUCAGCACCGACUGACGCCUCGCAUCCUGUAAACUGAGGGCAACCUCAUACUCCCUGGCCCUUUUUUUUUUUUUGCUGUGAGACAAGAUAGAGGACGUCACCGUUGCCUCCUCGACUGGCUCACACGUAAACCUUAAUGGGACACUGGGUUUAGUAAAUGCGUGGCUUCAUUGCUUCUAUAGGAAAGCUUUGUAUCCUUCACAUAAACACACGGAGUCAAUGGGGAUGGACAUAACCUUUUAAAUACUUAUUUUCCUGAAAUCUGUGAGUAUAUCCCAAAUAAAUCUUAGCAGAAGGUUUCA
rnacentral:lncRNA from 1 species